rnacentral:rRNA from 1 species
UACGUAGGGUGCAAGCGUUGUCCGGAAUUAUUGGGCGUAAAGAGCUCGUAGGCGGUUUGUUGCGUCGGCUGUGAAAUCCCGAGGCUCAACCUCGGGUCUGCAGUCGAUACGAGCAAACUAGAGUGUUGCAGGGGAGACUGGAAUUCCUGGUGUAGCGGUGAAAUGCGCAGAUAUCAGGAGGAACACCGGUGGCGAAGGCGGGUCUCUGGGCCAUUACUGACGCUGAGGAGCGAAAGCGUGGGGAGCGAACAGG